CAUAUUAUUCAUAAAAAUACACUAAAAAUACUUAAAUGCAUGUUUUUUUUGCCAUUUUAUAUCUAUUUUUUAUUGGGAAUUUUGACUUUUUCAGGUAGAGGAAUGUCUGCAACUAAGCCGAGGGCCACUGGAUAAGGGUUGUUGAUGGUAAAACAGGUUAAAGACUACAUGAGACUUUGACAGAUGGCGGGAAACCCACAUCCACUGGUAGAGGAAUGUGUGCAACUAAGCCGAGGGCCACUGGAUAAGGGUUGUUGAUGGUAAAACAGGUUAAAGACUACAUGAGACUUUGACAGAUGGCGGGAAACCCACAUCCACUGGUAGAGGAAUGUGUGCAACUAAGCCGAGGGCCACUGGAUAAGGGUUGUUGAUGGUAAAACAGGUUAAAGACUACAUGAGACUUUGACAGAUGGCGGGAAACCCACAUCCACUGGUACGAACCCGGUAAAUUGAUGGCUGUAAAACAGUGACCGCUGAUUCGCAUCGAGUUCUUUCUUGCAAAACGCAUGACCCCCCUUUUUUAUUGUCUAAAUCAUUGCGACUUGGAAUGCUCUUUAAGAAAAGGUAUGGUUAUGGGGGUCUCUAUGCGCAAAAGUUUGACUUUAUUUUUUGUUGAAGUUAUUGCUUUUACAUUGAAUUUGUGUAGGAAAUCUUUUG